CUUAAUAUUAUAAUAGUAAUUAAUGCAAGCGGAUAUAGUACGCACCUGAUAUAAACAAAUACGAAUGCAUAGAACAUAAUAAGUAGGAAUUAUAUUAUGUAAGUAUGUGUAUUGUGUAGUCUGUUUGUGUUAGUAUCUAUCGCGCGCGCAGCUCCUCGAGUCAGCUCGGCCGGCAAAGUACCUAGUCCAAUUUCUGCCAGUAUAAUACUUAUUGAUAAGAUAUUUUUCCCAUUCGACCGUCGCGCCUCCGAACAGGCACGACGCAUUCCGAAGAAAAAGAAACGUAAUUAUAAUAAAUUAUAAUAAAAUUGCACAUUAAAUCAAAUAAUAGUGUAUAAUAGUAAAGCAAAAAUACAUAUUUAAAUAGGAGACAACAAAUUUCGUCAAAUGCUGAACAACAUCCAUAAACAUUUAUACAAAACAAAAAAGUGCAACGGGUAUAAGUAACGAGCCGUCAUCGCAUUCAAGGUUAAAUUGAAAACCCCGAUAAACCUUCCACGAGAUCACGCAAAUAUCACCCGACGGAAAGCAUAAUUAUUAUUAUGACAAUGGUUGCGGCGCCGCAUCCAGCCCGCUGGGAGGACUCCGCCGCGCUACCGUGUUGAAACCAAUGAGACUACGAAACGGCGGCGGCAAAUCGUUCCAGCACUUGGAUGCGGCGAAACUGAAACUGCCACGAAAAGCGGUGGUGCGGUGACGAGGUAUUGCGAGUGAGUAGUACGACGCACGGGUCCUGGCAGCAGUCACGUCGCGGGACCAUACUAGUUUGUCCGCAAGAUAUGGCGGUAAUUUAAAUUUAACUACUCCGAACAUCAGCGUUGCAAAAUGAUACUGUCUGCGAUAUUUCAUUUUUAAGAUUUUAGCCUUGUUUAUGUAAGGUGUUACGUGUGUGCGGGGAGGUAUUUUGAAGCAGAAUCUAGCGCAAGCAUUCUGUACUCUUUGAACUAGUUUUUGUGAGCGCGCCAGCAGCCGAGGCCCAUACACAGCGUCCAUAUAAUUGAACUUAGAUAAAACUAAAGAGUCGCAUAGUUUAAUUCGAAAGGGAGUGCUUAAAUAUUCUCGAAUUUGGUACAUUACUUUUAAUCUGUAAAAACAGUUGCUAGCAGUGUUCGUAAUGUGCUUUUCAAAAAGUAACUCCUCGUCCAUUAGCAACCCUAGGUUUCGCGAUUCAGACACUCGCUGUACCACCUCGCCUCGAAUACUAAUGUUCAACCCUUGACGCGUAAUACUCUCUAUCUGUUGUCUAGAACCCAAGACCAUAUACUUCGUUUUAUUUCCGUUAAGCAUUAGGGUGUUCGCUUCUGCCCAAGCUGCUACACGUUCCAAGUCCUCUUCUAGUCGCUUUACUGCCAGACGGGUAUCACAUGGCUUACACGAAGUAUAAACCUGUAUAUCGUCGGCGUAAAUGUGAAAUUUGCAAUUUUUUAUUUCUUUCAUCACAUCGGCGCUGUAGAUGAUGAACAGAAGAGGACCCAAUAUUGACCCUUGAGGAACUCCCCUACUAACGGUUUUAGUGAUAGACCUAACUGAGGAACCGUCCUCGUUGCAUAGUUCAACAAACUGCGCUCGAUGAUCAAAAUAGCUGCUAAACCAAUUUAUGCUAUCCACGCUAAAUCCAUAAUAAUGUAACUUUGAUAGUAGUAUUGGCACAUUUAUACAAUCAAAAGCCCUGGAGAAGUCUAGUAAUGCUAAUAAAGUCCCUUGGCCAUCGUCACGUGCAGCCAGUAUGUCAUCAACAACCUGCAGCAAGGCAGUUGUGGUGCUGUACCCCUUCCUGAAUCCUGAUUGCACGCCCGGUAGAAUGUCAUUUUUUUCUAAGAAUGUUAUAAGCUGUGAGGCAACAGCUUUUUCUAAUAUUUUGGAUAUACAGGGUAGGAUGCUAAUCGGGCGCAAGUCUUUCAGUUCGGUAGCAUUCGAAGUUUUUGGUAUUGGCCUAACCAAUGCUUUCUGCCACAUAGCUGGAUAAGUAUUUGUACGAAUGGAGCAAUAGAUUAUGUCAGUAAUUAUAGGCAGGGUUUCAGGCAGGACAAGCAGAAGCAUGUCAAGCGAAAUACCAUCAACUCCGACAGCUUUUGUUUUAAUGGUGCGAACUAUCUUCAUAAUAUCACUUUCUGAGACCCUGCUCAAAGUAAAUGUGUUGGAUAUACACCGAUGACAUUCAAAGAAAGUUAACUGUGAGAUCUUGACAUUUAUGUUGCCGGGAACAUUUAAAAAAUAAUUAUUUAUCUCGUCUGGGUCUUUAAAAACAUUUGCUGGAAAUUCUGGUCUACUUUUUAUUCUAACAUUUUUUUUAAUAUGCUUCCACAGAGUGCGCGAGUCAUUUUCUGUGGAGUUGAUAUAAUGUUCGAAGUAUGACCGCUUCUCCCUAUACAAUGCCUCACUCACUACCUUUUUUAAAUCUUUAUAGAAAGUUUUAUGACUAUCCUGUUUACUAAGUCGUGCUCUAGUAUGUGCCUCGUCUCGCUUUUUCAUCAUUUGCCUUAUGUUGUACGUUAUCCAUGGGUAUUGUUCGUACCUAACAACCUUAGUUUUGAGAGGUGCGUGGACAUCGAACAAAUGCAAAAUCGUAUCAACGUAUAUAGUAACCAUAUCGUUUACAUUGGACAGUGAGCUAAUAUAGCUCCAAUUUAAAGAUGACAGGUCCUCAUUAAACAUUUCUAAGUCAAUGUCUUUUAAAUAUCUUCGCAUAACUCGAACGGGCGACGGUUUGUAUUUGGGAAUAUUUAUUAGACAUGUUACGAAUGCAUGUCUUCCCAGGUCAGGGACAUAGUCAACACCAACAGAGCUCCCCUUUACAUCCGUGCAGACUACGUCGAUUGGU
rnacentral:lncRNA from 1 species